AGCUUGGGAGUCGGAAGCCGAUACAGAGAGAAGCAGUGUGAGCAUGCAGUUGUUGAAAGAAGAGUCAGGGUUUCUCUGUGUACCUUUGGAGCCUGUUCUGGAACUCGUUCUUGUAGACCAGGCUGGUUUCGAACUCACAUAGAUCUUCCUGCCUCUGCCUCCUGAGUGUUGGCUCAGUCCUAACCUGAAGGCAGCUACAGACUGAAUGCAGAGUGGGGAGAAAGGCAGAGGACUGCAUGUGGGGAGCCAGAGCAACCCAAGUCUUUCUCAGAGGCCCUGAUGUAAGGAUAGAGGGAACAUUAGUUCUGUGUCCUUGUCCAGGAGUGAACUUGCAAUAUCAGACUUAGCUCUCUGCUGACCUUGGCUGUUUCUCACCCUGCAAAUAGUAUGUAUGAUGUUGUACUUCGUAAUAAACUUGCUUGGCACAAGUCAUCAACUUCCGCAAGGCCUGCUGGUCCCAGCUGAUGCUUUUCUCAUCCCUGGCCCUCUCAGCACUUCAUCACUCAAGACCAUUGUUCCUGCAGGUUUGGGGUCAACUGAUGACCUGAGAAACUUUGAAACUGUGAAGGUCAGCAUGCAAAGCAGCAGGUGACAAUUAGAGCCCAGGCAUCCUCUCUGCUCAUCACUUCAGACCUGGGUAUCCCCCGCCCCCCACUCCCCACCCCUGUAAAACAGCAUGCUUGGGAGAGACGAGGUCGCUGUGCAGACCCAUGUUUGAAUUCUGGAGUCUCUACUUCCUGGCUGUGGUAUGUCACUGGAGCAGGGUCAGUAGCUUUUCCAUGCAACAGACUCUGUGGAGCAGUGUGUGAGGCAUCAGCUAGGUCCUGGGGAUACAGAUGAGUGAAUCUAGUCCCUGCACUCAUGGAGCCGAGAGGAGAGUCUGGUCAACAGAUGAUAACUUUAUAGUCAAUGCUGUGGUUCGCAGGGAGUCAGGCUGCUGUGGGGCACAGAAAGCCCUAAUCUAGGAGAGAACCUGGAAGGCCCAGUGAGAAUCCACUUCAUUCAAGAAAUGUAUAUGAUGUAUGGCAGUGGUGGCACACGCUUUUAAUCCCAGCACUUAGGAGGCAGAGGUAGAAGGAUCUCUGUGUUUUGAGGCCAGCUUGAUCUACAGAUUGAGUGCCAGGGCAGGCUCCAAAGCCUGUCAGAGAAUCCCUGUCUCAAAAACAAAAAUAUAAGAGAGAUGGGAGACAGGCAGGCGGAUCUCUGUCGGUUCAAGGUAAGACUGGUCUACGUAGUGAGUUCCAGGACAGACAGG
rnacentral:lncRNA from 1 species